GAUGAACGCUGACAGAAUGCUUAACACAUGCAAGUCUUUGGCGAAGCUGUGCUUGCACAGCCUAGCCAGGGCGGACGGGUGAGUAACGCGUAAGGAACUUGCCCUGCAGUCAGGGAUAACAGACGGAAACGACUGAUAAGACCUGGUAAAGUCAGGCGGACUCAUGUCCAGCCUGAUGAAAAGAGAUGCUGCAGGAGAGCCUUGCGUCCUAUUAGCUUGUUGGUGGGGUAACGGCCCACCACGGCGAUGAUAGGUAGCCGGCCUGAGAGGGUGGACGGCCACAAGGGGACUGAGAGACGGCCCUUACUCCUACGGGAGGCAGCAGUGGAGAAUAUUGGACAAUGGGGGCAACCCUGAUCCAGCAAUUCUGUGUGCACGAUGAAGGUUUUCGGAUUGUAAAGUGCUUUCAGCAGGGAAGAAAAAAAUGACGGUACCUGCAGAAGAAGCGACGGCUAAAUACGUG
rnacentral:rRNA from 1 species